rnacentral:lncRNA from 1 species
UGGAGCUGUGCGGAAGCGUGAGGUGAAGCAGGCAGCUGAGCGUAGCCCUCACGAUCGCAUACCGCAACUGAGCAAGGCGAAGCUCUGGAGAGGAGUUGAAUCACUUGACCGGGCAGCUGUGCAGGUUGAUUCCAGUCUGGACACUCUGAAGCAAUUGCUACUGGGACUUCUGAGCUACUCAGACACAGCAGAGAUAAAGGCCAUAUAAAAAACUAGAUUUGGAUCAGUUCUACAGCUCUUUUAAGGACAAAGUCUGUCUUUCUGCAAGAUUCUUACAACUUUAUACACUUUGAGUCGUUCAGUUAAUAGAUUAUUCAGAGGGUAAAAACAGAAGAAGUCAUUGCAGGAGGUUGUGUUUGACUAGGGCUCAACCUCCGUCUCUACAUCCUAAGGUAAUGCAACUUAGAUUUUUUUAAAUUAAUUGUUACAUUUAUGCUGCAUCUGUCAUGAGCAUUUUUCAUGAGUUUUCGAAUUACUCUCGCUAAAUGAUUUCAUGGCUAGAUUUAUUAAUAAAGUUGACUAGUUGAAGUUUUACUGAUACUAA